CUUUUCAAAUAGCAAAACGCCCCUUUCAAAUAGCAAAACUCCCUUUUCAAAUAGCAAAACUCCCUUUUCAAAUAGCAAAACACCCUUUACAAAUAGCAAAACACCCUUUUCAAAUAGCAAAACACCCUUUUCAAAUAGCAAAACUCCCUUUUCAAAUAGCAAAACAGCCAAAAUUCUGUUUGCUAUCUCAUAGUCUGAACAUACUUUUGAGAAAC